GUGAAUCAUCGAAUUUUUGAACGCAAAUUGCACUCUCCCCGGGGAGUAUGCCUGUUUGAGGGUCAGCCUAUAAAAAAUCGACAUCGUUGCUGUUUCGCGGUGGCGUGCGUCGGAAAGUGGGUCAUCUUAAAUCCUUUUGAUUUAAGUGACUUAAAAUUGUCUUUGGGUUCCAUGAACGAUGGUAAGAUCGAUUGCUUUACACGUUUAAGGUAUCGUUUUUUACUAGAAGUGAGCAUCAUAUCGGAUUGCGUCCAUAACCUACCAUUAC
rnacentral:misc_RNA from 1 species